rnacentral:rRNA from 1 species
GUGUCAGUAGGUUGUUCUUGCCACCGGUACUUACUGGUCUCACUGAUUCCUCCUUCCUGAAGAACCGUAAUGCCAUUAAUUUGGUGUUGCGGGGAAACAGGACUGUUACUUUGAAAAAAUUAGAGUGUUUAAAGCAAGCUAACGCUUGAAUACAUUAGCAUGGAAUAAUGAAAUAGGACGAUCGAUCCUAUUUUGUUGGUUUCUAGGAUUGACGUA